rnacentral:tRNA from 3 species
GGCGGACGUAGCCAAGUGGAUUAAGGCA